CUCGUUAAUGUCUCAAAUUAAGAUCUACAGUGGCCAUGGAAUAGUUGCAGUUCCAUGUAUGAGCAGUUUGGAAUCUCCUUCCACUAUUAUCCGAUUCAGAGUUGAUUUGGGACAUAUGAAGUCAAAUAAUACCACAACCAUGCCAACACUAAGUCACUAACAUUAAUUCAGGUUUAUAUGCUCCCAUCUAUAGUAUCAGUAGCUCCCCUAAAUUUUUUUUGUUAGGAACAAAUCAACUCGACCGCCUCAUCUCUAUUAAAAGCACCACUCAUUAAAGUCUUGUCCAGUUCCGAUAUCUACUUGUCGGCUUUGCCCAAAACAAUAUAUUAUUUUAUAAUCUGCUUAGGGUUUCGAAACCAUUCGAACAACAACCACAACGUACAGAUGGAGUCCUCUGGGUAUCACGGUUUAGCCUGUAGUCCUCCUCCGGCGGAGCCAGAGAAGACGAUAUGCACGUAGAUAAAUCAGAUUGUGAGGGAUCAAACGCCGACGACCACUGUGAGAGUGUUUAUCCCAUCCCCGAUGGAAUUCCAGAUUCUAAAUUGGAGGACUUUUUUCUGCAAAUGAAAUCGACUUACGAACCUUGCUAUAGAGCCACACUGGAUCGGGCUGCGCAUCACAUUCUCUCAGCAACCACUCAAGUAGAUGCCUGGUCCUGCUUUGAACAAAUAUGGCAUUCUUGAACUCACCACAAAACGAGCAACAAAGUUGAAAGCCGCAUGGCCUGAGGUUGAACUAACCUUAAAUGCCUACUCCCUUUCAUGCGAUCUGAAUCUGGCCAACUGUUUCAUGCAUGUCUCAACAACCCCAUCGCUUGAGGAUCGAUGUAUGGUUGAAAAGGCUAGGCAUCUCCUUGAACUCUUGUCCACAAGUCUUGUUCCGCCAUAUAUGGUACAAAUUUAAGGCGUUAGAAAUAUUCCAAGACGUUAGGCAACAGGAAACCAUCAACAUAGGAUUUCAGCAGGGUGGGAUUUGCUCAAAAUUUGGGAUCAAGAAGGAUGACUAUCUUAGACGAUGGGAAUGUCUCUUCUGCUCGCUAAAGGUGUAUAAUAUGAUCUAAUUGAUGUUUUAAU